rnacentral:tmRNA from 1 species
GGGGAUGUUCCGGUUUCGACUGGGGCGAUCUGGUAUGCAGGCCGCAGGUGGAGUGCCGACCUCCUAACAUUCGGCAAAAAAUUUAAUUGCCGACAACAGCAAUUACGAUUACGCUCUAGCAGCAUAACCGCGUGGAACCGUCCCGCCGCCUUGAGGGACGGCUUCCGCGUCGCAAUCAAGGCUGGUCAAAUAGUGUUUUCGGACGCUAUGCGAUAAGAAAUAUCCGGAAUACGGAAGUGCCGCGUGCCGUAAAGCCAAGCGCAUCCCGACAAUUCAAUCUACGGCUAAACCUGUAGAAGUUUGCAUAACACGUUCUAGGACGCGGGUUCAACUCCCGCCAUCUCCA